rnacentral:rRNA from 1 species
CAGCCGCCGCGGUAAUACGGAGGGUGCAAGCGUUAAUCGGAAUUACUGGGCGUAAAGCGCACGCAGGCGGUCUGUCAAGUCAGAUGUGAAAUCCCCGGGCUUAACCUGGGAACUGCAUUUGAAACUGGCAGGCUAGAGUCUUGUAGAGGGGGGUAGAAUUCCAGGUGUAGCGGUGAAAUGCGUAGAGAUCUGGAGGAAUACCGGUGGCGAAGGCGGCCCCCUGGACAAAGACUGACGCUCAGGUGCGAAAGCGUGGGGAGCAAACAGGAUUAGAUACCCGGGUAGUCCCUGUCUCUUAUAC